rnacentral:rRNA from 1 species
AGGACGAACGCUGGCGGCGUGCUUAACACAUGCAAGUCGAGCGGUAAGGCUCCUUCGGGAGUACACGAGCGGCGAACGGGUGAGUAACACGUGAGCAAUCUGCCCUUCACAUUGGAAUAACUUCCGGAAACGGAAGCUAAUACCGAAUACGACCACCGAUGGCAUCUUCUGGUGGUGGAAAGUUCCGGCGGUGAAGGAUGAGCUCGCGGCCUAUCAGCUUGUUGGUGGGGUAAUGGCCUACCAAGGCGACGACGGGUAGCCGGCCUGAGAGGGUGACCGGCCACGACUGGACUGAGACACGGCCCAGACUCCUACGGGAGGCAGCAGGUGGGAAUAUUGGACAAUGGGACGAAAGCCUGAUCCGGCAACGGCCGCGUGGACGGGAUCGGACGGGCCUUUCGGGUUGUAAACCCUCGUUUACAGUCGAGGGACAAAGCGAAAGUGACGGUACUGACAAGAACGAAGCCGUAACCGG